rnacentral:rRNA from 1 species
AACGAACGCUGGCGGCAUGCCUAACACAUGCAAGUCGAACGAGAUCUUCGGGUCUAGUGGCGCACGGGUGCGUAACGCGUGGGAAUCUGCCCUCAGGUUCGGAAUAACCAUUGGAAACGAUGGCUAAUACCGGAUGAUGACGUUAAGUCCAAAGAUUUAUCGCCUGAGGAUGAGCCCGCGUAGGAUUAGCUUGUUGGUGUGGUAAAGGCGCACCAAGGCGACGAUCCUUAGCUGGUCUGGGAGGAUGAUCAGCCACACUGGGACUGGGACACGGCCCAGACUCCUACGGGAGGCAGCAGUGGGGAAUAUUGGACAAUGGGCGAAAGCCUGAUGCAGCAAUGCCGGGUGAGUGAUGAAGUCCUUAGGGUUGUAAAGCUCUUUUACCCGGGAUGAUAAUGACGGUACCGGGAGAAUAAGCACCGGCUAACUCCGUG